rnacentral:rRNA from 1 species
UACGGGGGGAGCAAGCGUUGUUCGGAUUUACUGGGCGUAAAGGGCGCGUAGGCGGCCAGCACAAGUCAGUUGUGAAAUCUCCGAGCUUAACUCGGAAAGGUCAACUGAUACUGUGCGGCUAGAGUGCAGAAGGGGCAACUGGAAUUCUUGGUGUAGCGGUGAAAUGCGUAGAUAUCAAGUGGAACACCAGUGGCGAAGGCGAGUCCCUGGACAACUCCUGACACUGAGGCACGAAAGCUAGGGGAGCAAACAGG